rnacentral:lncRNA from 1 species
UAUGUGUAUACAUAUAUGCAUAUGUGUUUGUGUGUUUUCUGCCACAAGCUUUCAUGUGCCAGGGUAAUAGCUACUGCAGCAUGGUCAGAGUAAUCUCAGAUGUGAGGGACUUGUGUGAGGCUGAGGGAAGGCUGGUUUCAGUACUAGAAGGCAACCUUCUUUCUCCUGGUUAUUACCUGACUCCAUCUCCAGAGGACUAAUGGACAAGAUAGCUGUGAGAUACGCUGGCAUAAGGUUCCUCAAGCCUUGGGGUUCAAACUGCACCAUUUUGCAUGGGUAAGGAAUGAUAAGAUUCAUUAGCUUGUCUAGAUGUCACCUUUCUUACUUGCUGCAUUUUAUUAAACUAGUUAUUAAAUUAUCCCUAUGAACUUAAUAAGGAAAUACAUGGUCUAGAGAGAAGCAUGACUGAAAAUUAGACAUUUCAAUGUCCUGUUGACCUUGUAUACUUGUAGGUACGUGCUUCCACUUAGCUAGGUUCUUACACAGAGCUGUUCUUGAAAGUAUGAUGUUGCUGCUUUUCAAAAGGAUUGUGGGAGUCACACGUCUGGAUCAGAUAUUAAAGACUAGAAGAACUUCAGGAUGGGUUUGACCUAAACUAUUCCUUUAACAACCUUGAAUUACCAGUCUUUGCAAUGACGAGUUACAUAAAACCUCAGCUGGGGAGCAGGGAAAAUAGUCUUAAAAUGUAGCCUGUCAAUUCACAGAAUUGCAGAAAAAUUUAGGUUAGUAGGGCCCUCCGGAGAUCAUCUGGUUCAAUCUCCUGCUGAGUGCUUAACUACUUUUAAUGCAUGAUAACACUAGCACCAAGAAGACCCUAAGGCUCACCUAUUCUAUACAGUGAAGUAUGGAGGUCUCCCAGUUGGUGCUGUAGUCAAAUGGAGCAGCCACUCAACUUCAGUUGUGUUGGCUCAGACCUGAACCACUGGAGUGACACUUGGAUUCUGCAUUGUUCUGGCAUUAGCAAUUAAAGCUUUAAAGCCCCACCUGGCUAGUCUGCACAAGUAGUACCUAGAACACCUUUGAUAUCCAAGCCCAGAUUCCUUAAAAAAAGCUCUGCUUAGUCUUAUCUCCAAAUCAUCUUGAAAUUGGUAUUAAAGUGUUAAAUUAGAAUAUAAUUCUGAGCAAAAAUGGAUUUAUAUUCAAGAUCAGUGCGGAAAUAGUUGGGCCAUCCAACUGCUUGGCUACAGCUGUUGUUUAGUA